rnacentral:ncRNA from 1 species
UCUUAUCAAGAGUGGUGGAGGGACUGGCCCUAUGAAACCCGGCAACCUAUAAGUAAUUAAGAAAGUAAGAUUUCACUUGGUGAAAAUUUAAAUUAAUUAUUUAAAUUUUAAAGCUUAGUAGCAGCAGGCUACUUAAAGAGUGAAAAAUCUUAAUGAGCGUAAGCGUCUUAAUUAUUUUAUGUGGUGCUAAUUCCUGCAGUUUUUAACUGAGUGAUGAGA